rnacentral:sRNA from 1 species
UGCGUUCGUAUCUGGGGCAAGAAAGAAGUUAUACCUUUAAAAACAUGAUGGGUAAAAAGCGAAUGCACUAGAGAUCAAACUCUGUAAAAUCC